GACGAACGCUGGCGGCGUGCUUAACACAUGCAAGUCGAACGAAGAGCGAUGGAAGCUUGCUUCUAUCAAUCUUAGUGGCGAACGGGUGAGUAACGCGUAAUCAACCUGCCCUUCAGAGGGGGACAACAGUUGGAAACGACUGCUAAUACCGCAUACGAUCUAAUCUCGGCAUCGAGGAUAGAUGAAAGGUGGCCUCUACAUGUAAGCUAUCACUGCAGGAGGGGAUUGCGUCUGAUUAGCUAGUUGGAGGGGUAACGGCCCACCAAGGCGAUGAUCAGGAGCCGGGCGGCGAUGAUGGACAGCCAGAUUGGGACUGUGACAGGGCCCAGAGGGCUAGAGAAGGCAGCCGUGGUGAUUCUGCCGCAAGGAGUGGAAGUCUGACGGAGAAGCGCCGCGUGAGUGAUGAGGACCGUCGGGUUGUGGAGCUCGGUUUAUCGGGUGGAAAGGCCUUCUUGCGGAUAGUGAGAGGGAUUGACGGUACCGGAAAAAGAAGCCACGGCUAACUACGUG
rnacentral:rRNA from 1 species